rnacentral:rRNA from 1 species
AGAGUUUGAUCCUGGCUCAGGACGAACGCUGGCGGCGUGCCUAAUACAUGCAAGUCGAACGGUUUAGUUAUCUGUCAUCAGAAGUCAGACGUUGGGUAAGAGCGAAGAGCCUGGGGUAACACCUUAGGGGAAGAGUGAAGGGCCUGGCGGCUGGAAGCUGAUGAUGGACGACUGGAUAGUGGCGGACGGGUGAGUCACACGUGAGCAACCUACCUUGUACAGGAGGACAACAGUUGGAAACGGCUGCUAAUACUCCAUAAGACCGAGUCUGCGCAUGCAGGAGCGGUCAAAGGUGAAAGCCGGUACAAGAUGGGCUCGCGUCCCAUUAGCUAGUUGGCGGGGUAAAGGCCCACCAAGGCGACGAUGGGUAGCCGGCCUGAGAGGGUGAACGGCCACACUGGGACUGAGACACGGCCCAGACUCCUACGGGAGGCAGCAGUAGGGAAUAUUGCGCAAUGGGGGAAACCCUGACGCAGCGACGCCGCGUGAGCGAUGAAGGCCUUCGGGUCGUAAAGCUCUGGCUUUGGGGACGAGAAGAAGACGGUACCCAAGGAGGAAGCCCCGGCAAACUACGUGCCAGCCGCCGCGGUAAUAC